GAUGAACGCUAGCGGCAGGCUUAACACAUGCAAGUCGAGGGGUAUAGUAGCAAUACUAGAGACCGGCGCACGGGUGCGUAACGCGUAUGCAAUCUACCUUUUACAGAGGGAUAGCCCAGAGAAAUUUGGAUUAACUACCUCAUAGCAUUGCGAAAUGGCAUCAUUUUGCAAUUAAAGUCACAACGGUAAAAGAUGAGCAUGCGUCCCAUUAGCUAGUUGGUAAGGUAACGGCUUACCAAGGCAACGAUGGGUAUGGGUCCUGAGAGGGAGAUCCCCCACACUGGUACUGAGACACGGACCAGACUCCUACGGGAGGCAGCAGUGAGGAAUAUUGGACAAUGGGCGCAAGCCUGAUCCAGCCAUGCCGNGUGCAGGAUGAAUG
rnacentral:rRNA from 1 species